rnacentral:rRNA from 1 species
AUUGAACGCUGGCGGCAAGCUUAACACAUGCAAGUCGAGCGAGAGGCGGACGGGUGAGUAAUGUAUGGGAAACUGCAUAGUAGAGGGGGAUAACUACAAGAAACGGUAGCUAAUACCGCAUACCAUCAGUGGGGCCCAAAUGGGAUUAGCUAGUAGGUGGGGUAAUGGCUCACCUAGGCAACGAUCCCUAGCUGGUCUGAGAGGAUGACCAGCCAGCCUGUAACUGAGACACUGCCCAGACUCCUGUGGCAGGCAGCAGUGAGGAAUAUUCGCCAAUGGGCGCAAGCCUGAUACAGACCUCCCGCGUGUAUGAAGAAGGCCUUCGGGUUGUAAAGUACUUUCCGUCAGGCAGCGUUGUUCGCAGAAGAAGCGCCGGCUAACUCCGUGCCAGCAGCCGCGGUAAUUC